UUCUGUAUCCAAAAAAGUCAAUAUUUGUGCAACAUCUGUAUUUGAUGCAAAAAAAUUAAAAUGAAUUUAAAUAUUUGCAGUAUGAAUACAUAAAAGCAGCUGUUUCAAUAUAUUGCAGGCAUGGAAAAUUGGUGUAUUGUUGGUGCGUCGUAUCCUUAUACAGCAGAAGCUUGUGGCACUGCAAUAAUAUUGAAUUUGUAUAAAUUGUGAUAAAUGUCUAAUGAGGAUAUUUGUCGUGCUAUUGUUCGCUGAUAUUACCUUCCGGAAUAAAUUCCUCACAAAUUGAUUGUAGUUUAUAAUAAAAGAGCCUUUUCCGUAAAUGCAGCACUAUGCCCAAUGGCCUUCCCUGCCGUAAUGUAUUCCUCAUAAACUAGUUGACAGCGAUGAUGUGUUGAUUGUGGUUCGAAGUUAAAAAAAUUUUUCAGUAAAUGCGGCAUUAUAUGUGUCCCCGAAGAAAUUUCUGCCACUGAAUUAUUGGGCCAUUCAAACGAAUAGUAUCAUUAAAUACUAGAAAUACUGUAAAAUUUAUUAACUUCAGUUAUUUUAAAGCCAAAAACCAAAUAACCCCUAUAACAAUUGCAAGCUCGAACGAUUAAAAGCAGCAGCUGCCAAAAGAAACCAAAAUUUGUGUUUAGACAAUGGUGAAGCCGAUGUCAAUGCAAAUUGGAAUUGUCUAGACUAUUCAAUUAAUAAAAGUACCCUGGAUCAACGACUGUCUCUGAAGCUAACAGAUUAUUAGAAAGAUGUAGAACAUAACUUAAACGAUGUUUAUUAUACUCCAACGAAAAAAUAUAAAUCAUCUAAAAAUGCUGAAUCGCAAAAAAAGUUGUCCGAAAUGUCCCCAAUUAUUCGGCCAAGGGCUGUCAACCCCAGCAACAACGAAAAACUGCUACAGUUAUAUUGUUAUAUUGCUAUACGUUACCUCACCAAACCUAUGUUCAUAUAUAUGUGCAAAACAUUGUCUUGGAAACAUGCACACACAUUGUUGGAUAAAACGUUCCACUUCUCCCGUGCUUAGUGAAGUACAUGCAGUAACUAUUGGUAGAAGAACUAGAUAUUUUCUGUAUAGAAGGCAAUAUCAAAAUUAUCCACAUGGAUAAGCCGCAGUGUUUGUUGAUGGGUGAAGUCGAUUAAUCUCUAAACCUUAUAUGCCAAAGCAUUUAAAAGAAAUAGUGACCGGAUUCUCAAAAGCGUUUAAAGGUUAUGUCAUUUAUUUAGUUGCGGAAUAAACUACUUCGAUGCCGAAUCAAAUUCAGUAUUACAACAGCUAUGAGACAGCAACAAAAACAGCUAUGAGACACGACAAUCGAUUCUCGCACCGGAACGAGUUGGAGGUUUACAGGUUCCUUAGAAUUCAGUUGUCACUGGGAAGGUAGUACCAAUCGGAAUAAACUACUUCGAUGCCGAAUCAAAUUCUGUAUUACAACAGCUAUGAGACAGCAACAAAAACAGCUAUGAGACACGACAAUCGAUUCUCGCACCGGAACGAGUUGGAGUUCAACGAAUAACGACUAAGGAUUGUCAACUCAGCCACACCAACUUUACACGUAUCGCUGCUACAACAACAUCAACAAUAAAGUAGCUGAUAAAUCUGGGUGAGUGCAAAUUUAAUUUAAAAUUCAAACAAAAAAUAAGAACAGUACGUCGUGACUGGACAGAUAGUUUAAAUAAUUUAACUAGGACUCGAUAGAAACAUAUUUUCAUGGUGAAUUCGGUUGUAAUAAUAUAAAUAAAUUUCUAAACUACAUGUUAUUACCCCUAAAUUAAAAUAAUUCUGAGUUAUGUCGUAGUUAUGGAUUAUGUCAUUGUCAAAACUGAUGUUUCUGUACAAUUCAUUUGUAUCAUACCCAGUGAGAAUCUGCUUUAGGAAUGAACAAACACAUGUUUGAUUUCAAAUAUGUAUUGUACAAUCAUUUAUCUUUGGUUUCAACUUACUGUAAGAUCGGACUCAGAAAAUGUUACUACCCUUGGUGACUAAUAACCCCUAGCUUUUGAUGGCACGGUUCCGUAAAGUGAAACGGGGUUGCACCUUCUAAUAGGGUAGUGACGGUUACACAUGUAACCAGCUUAGAAACGUAAGAUUAUAGUUGAACCAAACAAAUGAUAAUUCAUUCUUUAAGCUAUGAUUUCCACUGGUCUAUUUCAUACUGAAUGACAUGUACAGAUGUUAUUAUUGCUCAGGAUAUACCCUUAACCCAAUGAACCCAAUGACUUAUUUUCCAAUAUAUUUCAUUUUUUGCAUUUCAUAUUAUGUUUCUACACAUUUAAAAUAAUUUUUCUUUCAAUCUAACUAAUGUUUCUGUACCAUCAUUCAUUUGUAUAAUAGCCAGUGAGAAUCUGCUUUAGGAAUGAACAAACACAUAUUUGAUUUCAAAUAUGUAUUGUACAAUCAUUUACAUUUGUUUCAACUUACUGUAAGAUCGGACUCAGAAAAUGUUACUAUCCUUGGUGACUAAUAACCCCUAGCUUUUGAUGGCACGGUUCCGUAAAGUGUAAUGGGGUUGCACCUUCUAAUAGGGUAGUGACGGUUACACAUGUAACCAGCUUAGAAACGUAAGAUUUUAGUUGAAGCAACAAAUGGUUAUUUAUUCCUGAAGCUAUGAUUUCCACUGGUCUAUUACAUACUGAAUGUCAUGUACAGUUGUCAUUAUUGCUCCAUAACUACGUGUCUAUAUAAGCUAUGUAUCAUUUUUUUAACUGGAGGUUUCACGAGUUCUUUUAAGUAUACCACAAGGGUGAUAUUGGCCGGUACAAAUAUUAUUAAGUUCCUACAAGGCCGGGUUUGUCCGAUUUACGAUCUUUUAUUUAUAAUCCUGAAACCUUAUCCUGGACCCAAUGACUUAUUUUCUAAUAUAUUUUAAUUUUACAUUUCAUAUUAUGUUUCUAAACAUUUAUCAUAAUUUUUCUUACAAUCUUGCUGAUGUUUCUGUACCAUCAAUCAUUUGUAUAAUAGCCAGUGAGAAUCUGCCUUAGGAAUGAACAAACACAUAUUUGAUUUCAGAUAUGUAUUGUACAGUCAUUUACAAUUGGUUUCAACUUACUGUAAGAUCGGACUCAGAAAAUGUUACUACCCUUGGUGACUAAUAACCCCUAGCUUUUGAUG
rnacentral:lncRNA from 1 species